rnacentral:rRNA from 1 species
GUAGGGAAUAUUGGUCAAUGGACGAAAGUCUGAACCAGCCAUUCCGCGUGCAGGAAGAAGAUUCUAUGGAUUGUAAACUGCUUUUAGCAGAGAAGAAACGCCUUCAUUGAUGAGGGUUUGACGGUAUCUGCGGAAUAAGCACCGGCUAACUCCGUGCCAGCAGCCGCGGUAAUACGGGGGGUGCAAGCGUUAUCCGGAAUCACUGGGUUUAAAGGGUGCGUAGGCGGGAAAUUAAGUCAGUGGUGAAAGUCUGUUGCUUAACGAUAGAAUUGCCGUUGAUACUGAUUUGCUUGAAUUGGGUUGAGGUUAGCGGAAUGUGACAUGUAGCGGUGAAAUGCAUAGAUAUGUCAUGGAACACCAAUUGCGAAGGCAGCUAGCUGGGCCUUGAUUGACGCUGAGGCACGAAAGCGUGGGUAGCGAACAGGAUUAGAUACCCGAGUAGUCC